GUGGGAUACGGAGAUGUUACACCUGUUACUGCGACCGGAAAAGCUAUUUGUGGAGUGUGCGCAAUAAGUGGGGUUGUUUUAAUAUCGAUUAUUCUACCCAUCUUCGUUGAUUCCUUUCUUACACUUUAUGGGAUUGCGCAACUCAAUUUAACAGCAUAUCGAAAACAAUCAAACGGUGUAGUUGUCAACACAGAUAAUGCAAAAGUGACGCCACA
rnacentral:lncRNA from 1 species